UACGAAGGGUGCAAGCGUUGUUCGGAUUUAUUGGGCGUAAAGCGCGCGUAGGCGGACCUGUAAGUCAGAUGUGAAAUCUCGGUGCUCAACACCGAAACUGCGUCUGAAACUGCGGGUCUUGAAUCUUAGAGGGGGAGUGGGAAUUUCGCAUGUAGGGGUAAAAUCCGUAGAGAUGCGAAGGAACACCAGAGGCGAAGGCGCACUCCUGGACAAGUAUUGACGCUGAGGCGCGAAAGCGUGGGGAUCAAACAGGAUUAGAUACCCUGGUAGUCCACGCUGUAAACGAUGAGCACUAGAUAUUAUGGGAUUUGACCCCCGUAGUGUCGUAGCUAACGCGUUAAGUGCUCCGCCUGGGAAGUACGGUCGCAAGACUAAA
rnacentral:rRNA from 1 species